CUCAACAACGGUCAGUUGUCACUCCGUCUCCGCUCUCUGUGCCAGUGCUGAGCUGCUCCUGCUGCCUGGACUUCUCCUGCUUCCUGGACUUCUCCCACUGCCUGUCCUGAAGCACCAAGCCCAGCAGGAUGUGCACUCCUGUCGCGGGGAAGGCAACCGGAGACACUGUAGAGGACAUGGAAGUGGACAUGGUGCUGGAUAUGGAAGAAAUGAUGGAGGUGGACGUGGAAGAGUGUGUUGAGGACAUGGAGGUGGAUGUGGAGGACAGCAUCGAGGACAUGGAGGUGGAUGAGAAGGAUGAAGAGGAGCCCAUGAUCCUUGGAUGAAGAUGGAGCCUCCACAGAAGAACAGGUCGAUGCUCCCCAUGUCCUCCCCAAGGCGGAGUGGAUCCACCACCUGAACCACCCUGCUCUGCCUCUGCACCACGUCUGCCCCAUCACGGCGCCUGGAGCCUGGCUCCCAGCCCCAGCUGCGCUCAAGGCUAGCAGCAGAGUCCUGCCCUGCUGCUGCCUUUCUACCUGGAUGACCAUCCAGGACUCUCCUCCAGACACCAUGGCCACGGAUAUGUCCCCUUUGUACAUACGUUUUUUCAUGUUAGUUAUUUGCUGUAAAUAUGUUUUGAAGAUCGUUAGUUUAUAGGCCCCAUGUAAAUACGUUCUAUAGAUUGUUGUUGUUAUAGGGUUUCUUAUAAUGAAAAGUGUUCUCUAAAGCCUAGGAUCUGCUGAUCUUAGGUAAAUAAAUGCUAUUUAUUUUUAAAAGCA